rnacentral:rRNA from 1 species
CGUAGGUGGUUCGUUAAGUUGGAUGUGAAAUCCCCGGGCUCAACCUGGGAACUGCAUUCAAAACUGUCGAGCUAGAGUAUGGUAGAGGGUGGUGGAAUUUCCUGUGUAGCGGUGAAAUGCGUAGAUAUAGGAAGGAACACCAGUGGCGAAGGCGACCACCUGGACUGAUACUGACACUGAGGUGCGAAAGCGUGGGGAGCAAACA